GGCGGAUGUAGCCAAGGUGGAUCAAGGCAGGGGA
rnacentral:tRNA from 1 species